rnacentral:rRNA from 1 species
GACGAGGAGGCGAGCGUUAUCCGGAUUCACGUUGGGCGUAAAGCGCAUGUAGGCGGCUGGACAAGUCGUUGUGUUAAAGCCCCUGGCUCAAACUGGGGGAGGUCAUGCGAGACUGUACGGCUGGAGGGCAACAGAUGGCACGUGGAACUCCCGGUGUAGCGGUGGAAUGCGUAGAGAUCGGGAAGAACACCAGUGGCGAAGGCGACGUGCUGGGUUGCACUGACGCUGAGAUGCGAAAGUGUGGGGAGCGAAACGGG